CCUACGGGUGGCAGCAGUGGGGAAUAUUGCGCAAUGGGGGAAACCCUGAUGCAGCGACGCCGCGUGAGCGAUGAAGUAUUUCGGUAUGUAAAGCUCUGUCAGCAGGGAAGAACGUUACGGUACCUAACUAACAAUCCCCGGCUAACUCCGUGCCAGCAGCCGCGGUAAUACGUAGGGGGCAAGCGUUAUCCGGAUUUACUGGGUGUAACGUGAACGUAGACGGUCCUGCAAGCCACAUGUGAAGGCCCGGGGCUCAACCCCGGGACUGCAUUUGGAACUGUAAGGCUAGAGUGUGGGAGAGGAAGGCGGAAUUCCUAGUGUAGCGGUGAAAUGCGUAGAUAUUAGGAGGAACACCAGUGGCGAAGGCGGCCUGCUGGACGAUGACUGACGUUGAGGCGCGAAAGCGUGGGGAGCAAACAGGAUUAGAUACCCGUGUAGUC
rnacentral:rRNA from 1 species